rfam:Triticum aestivum genome assembly, contig: Triticum_aestivum_CS42_TGACv1_scaffold_499841_6BL
UUUGUACUUCCUCUGUCCUAAAAUUCUUUUCUUAAAUUUGUCUAAAUACGAAUGUAUCUAGUUACGUUUUAGUGUUAGAUACAUUCGUAUCUAGACAAAUCUAAAACAAGAAUUUUGGGAUGGAGAGAGUAUGAU